rnacentral:tRNA from 1 species
GUAGACAUAGUUUAAUGAAAACCUUAGAUUGUGAUUCUAACAACAGAGGUUAAAACCCUCUUGUCCACC